CUUUGCAAUAUUUUAAUUUGCAUUAGAUAUUCUGCUUCCUGUAUAGUUUCAGACUUUGAAUCAAAUAUAUACUUUAUAUAUAUAAGGUAGUUUGUGGUGUAUGUUUAGGAGGUACCAAGUAGGAACUCUGUGUGGGGGUUCUGACCCCACAUUUCCCGGUGAGGGCUUCAAGUUGCUUCCACUCAUGGUAGAUGGGGAAGGAGAGCCAGCAUUUGCAAAGAUCACAUGUUGAGAUAGGAAGCAAGAGAGAUAGGGGAGAUGCCAGGCUCUUUGUAUUGAUCAGCUUUCGCAGGAACUAACCUGCCUCAAUGUAACAGCAAUAAGAUACUUACCAGAAUGUGGGCCAGCUGUGAGUAGCAUUUAGAUGGUCAUAAUACUGAUUCAAAAACCAUUUUUUAUGUGUAUGUGUGAAUGUUGGAUGUCAUAGCAUUGUAGGUCAACAGAGCUAAUACUCAGUUUAAGAAUAAGACAGUCAAUAGUUAAUACCUAAUAUUUUAAGAGGAAAAAAAGGAAGAAUGCAAAAGGCUAAAGUCCACCACUGCACAAACAUGUAUCUCCAUUAAAAAUCCAGCUAUAAAUUAGUCCCAGAGCUUCUUGAGCAAAAAAGUGCUGAAUCCCCUUGAGAAAAGAAAUUUACAUUGGGGCAAGGGAACUACAGAUAUUAUGCAAGUCCAAUAAUGAAAUUAACUCACUCAUCUCCACAGAGUAUACCGUUAUAAGGCUUGGCUGAAGACAAUAUGAUGCAGGAAGAGAAAAUGAGUGUUGUAAAGUUUAGUGAUUUAGAGCAUCUUCAAGGGUUUAUCAGUCAUUUAUACAUCUUUGAGGAAAAAUAUCUGUUCAAGUGUCUUGUCUAUUUACCAUUUAGUCCUGAUAGCUGCCUGUGUGAUUACUAUAUACUUGAGAAUAAUUUUACUAAUAUGCUAUAUGAAGACUACCCAAAUAUAAACAAACAUAACCUAUUCAGAGUUUCCUACAGCAAGCUUGAGUGUGACAGAGAUUCAAAUGCAGGCAGGGGAGUGAGAAUGCUAUAUAGUGAACAAAUAGAAGGUUUCAGGUACACUCUGAUUAGAGGUCAUGAGGAUGCUCAAACUCAGCUAACUAACAGCAGGACAUAUUCUGUGGUUGGUUUUGGGAGUACAUUUGAUUUUACUUGGUUGGUCAUGAGUUGGAAGCAGGGAGAAAAAUAGGUAAGCAGUCAUACGCUGUCACGACCAAGUCCUGACAAUUCUGGGCCAGUUGAUGCAGAGGUUGUGGUUUGCAUUCUUGCGCUUAUUGUGAUAUGCAGUCUGGUCAUUGCUUAUUUGUAUAUUCAGUCUCUAAGCUCUGUGGUCCAUUAUUUCAAACUUGGAUCACAAUAAAGUAAUAAGAUAUUAUUCAUCACUUUAUAGUUGUAUGUUUAAAUGAAAUAAAUAUUAGAUUAGUUGUAAAUGAAAAUGACAGCUCAAUUUGUAACUCCAUUAAUAAUUUUGUUAUAUUUAUGUGAAACAUACUCCCUUAAUGUAUAUUUCCAAACACUCUCAUUAGCUAUCUCUUCACUGUAUAGUCAAAAAUAAUUUCAGAUCGUUGAUGUCAGCAAGAUGGCAGAAUAGAAGGAUAGAGUCUCUCCUUUCCCCCAUGGAGACAAAGACUCAACAACAAUGCAUGAAUCAAUUUCUUUUGUGAGAAAUACAGUUAAAGGUUAAAAGUCUCCCGCACCCCAGGUGAUUCAAAACCAGCAGCAUCAAAGGUAGCAGGAAAAUUUGUGGUACUGAAUUAUCUUUGUUCUGUCUCUUGUUCAGCCCCAUGUGAUCAUAGGAGACUUCUACUCCUGGCUUCUCCCUAAAGAAAGAAAGAGAAGACUGCAGCAUAUCUCCAACAUUCUGACGAUUCAGAAAGACUGAUCAAGGGACUGGCUUUUAUCUUACCACAUUCAAAGAGCUGAUAGUGAAAGGCAACAGACUGAGAGACACUGAGGACAAAGGCUUUUUUUUUUUUUUUCACUGCAUGCAUCCUCUCACCGUAGUC
rnacentral:lncRNA from 1 species